UACGUAGGGGGCGAGCGUUGUCCGGAUUUAUUGGGCGUAAAGAGCUCGUAGGCGGUUCGGUAAGUCGGAUGUGAAAUCUCCACGCUCAACGUGGAGAGGCCAUUCGAUACUGCCGUGACUCGAGUCCGGUAGGGGAGUGUGGAAUUCCCGGUGUAGCGGUGAAAUGCGCAGAGAUCGGGAGGAACACCCGUAGCGAAGGCGGCACUCUGGGCCGGUACUGACGCUGAGGAGCGAAAGCGUGGGGAGCAAA
rnacentral:rRNA from 1 species